rnacentral:rRNA from 1 species
GCCUACGGCCAUACCACCCUGGCAACGCCGAUCGUCUGAUCUCGGAAGCUAAGCAGGGUCGGGCCCGGUGAGUAUUGGAUGGGAGACACUCCUGGGAAUCCAGGGUGCUGUAGGCU